AACGAACGCUGGCGGCAUGCCUAACACAUGCAAGUCGAACGGGACCUCCGUGUCUAGUUGCGCUCGGGUGCGUAACGCGUGGGAAGCUGCCCGUAGGUUCCGAAUACUUCCCUUUCGGGGGUGCUAAUGCAGGAUAAUGUAUUCGGACAAAAGAUUUAUCGCGCUUGGGUGGGCCCGGGUUGGUUUAGCCGGUUGGGAGGGUAAAAGCCUACCAAGGCGUCGAUCCUUAGCUGGUCUGAGACCAUGCUCCGCCACACUGGGGCUAAGACACGGCCCAGAAUCGUAGGCGAAGGAGGAGAGGGUAAUACAGGACAAUGGGCGAAGGCCUGAUCCAGCAAUGCCGGGUAAGUCAUGAUGGCGUUAGGGUAGUAAAGCUGUUUUACACGGGAUGAUAAUGACGGUACCGGGAGAAUAAGCACCGGCUAACUCCGUG
rnacentral:rRNA from 1 species